AUUAUUUUGUCUGUCUUAUUUGGUGUUGUGCCCCAACUGAAGCUCUUCAGAACCAAAUGUGACAGACCCCUGCAAAAGAAGAAUGAAAUGGGAUUUGCUGCUUCUAGCAACCUCAUCUCUGCCCAGCCCUUCAAAGGAACCACUCUCCCUUUCCUCUUCAAUGUGAGAAGCAUGACAAGUGAGUACCUGUCAGCUGAACCAGCCCUGCCCAGCACUCUUCACAGACUUCAGAGCACAGGAAGCUUCAGCCUCCUUGGGAUGAUCCUGAUCUCUUCACUGUCUAGCCCCAAGCUGCUAUACCA